CAACUUCCUGUCAAUGUGUGAAUCUCAGAGUUGAAGUUCCUUAUUUCGUAAACGUCGUGAAUAUUGGAAAACAACGAGUGUGUAUGUGAAGUACUGUGCUGUUCCGUAGGAAAUCAUUAACUAUGGCAAGAAAAUAUCAAUUGUUUCAUGUCGUGAGUUUAUGUGGGCCGUGGGAAAAAAUGAACGUAUCUUCAAGGUCGUUCUUCAAUGAACUUCUUUCUAUGGCAAGACACGUGGGCGAUGGACCAGGGUACAGGGCAUUGAGCGACAGCUGUUGGACAACAUAUUAACAAAAACUGAAGGUCCGGGGUGAGGAGGCAGACAGCAGCAGCGGUUCCGCACACGACAAUUGCCGAAGGGGAAGAACCGAGAACAGCCGAAGUCGCGUGGAAGCAGUAAGUAGAAUGGAGGGGGAGUGCGGAGGAGGGGGAAAGUCGCGUGCAGUGCAUCUUGUUUGUAUUUCGAACUGUGUUCGAAUAGAAGCAGGCAGACCAAGUUAAGUUGCCGGCAGUUAAGACAACCACCUUCCAAAAACAGCAGCUUUCUUGGAAAAACAGUCCACUCCCCUCCCUCUGUGCCGUCGUCAGUGCUGCUAGACGUGUUAGUGACUCUGAUACCGAAAUUACUAAUAAAUACUGUGUUGUCAGGCAUCCUGGACGCAUUGGCGAGUGUAAAAAACAACUGUCAGUAAGUAAAAGACCGUCAUCGACUCUUCACAACAUCAGAAGAUAAACCAGAAGCUGAUCUACAGAAGAAAUUAUUUUCACCGCUUGUAUAAAAACGUGAAGAAAAACGACGUGGUUUGCCUCAAGGAACAAUAAUAAAAAAAAACUGCCACCAAAGUGGACGCAAAGGAUCCACCCCUUCGCCUCACCCCCAUCCCACUGCAUCAACCCCUAGAACGGUUUUUUGUGCUAUCAGGGUAUCAGAAAAAGAAAGUACCUUCACAGCAGGCGUAAACCGACGGUAAAAAUGGAUCAUGUGUUGUCAGUAAUAUAAACCAGAGCUUACAACUUUUUUGUGCUCGUGAUUGUGCGUGUUUGAAGACAGAAGACACAAAACGCUGUUAUUGGUAUACCAUCUUGGAAUUACUUGAAUUUGUGUUUAUGUGAAAUUACGAUUUUAAUCCUAACUACAGAACAUAUUUUUAGCCACAUUUCGAUACCUUUCCUAUCUGUUCAUAAUACAUCAAAAAUAUUACCAUCCCAGUGUAAGAACAUAAAGAAGACUUUUAUGCUGUAAAGAUGACUUACCAACAUAUUCAUUUAUGUUUCGAAUUGCAAGUGACAUAGAUAGCUGAAGACUGUUCAACAGUUGUGUUGAGUGUUGUUAUAACAGUACAGCUGUAAGACUCUGAUAGGUUAUAAACUGGAAAUUCAAGUUUUGAGAAGAUUCCGUUUCUUACUGAACGUUAAUUUAUCUUAGUAGAGAGUGAUUUCCAGAGUAAUAGUCGUUAUAUAUUAGCCUGAGUCGUCACGUAAUGUACUAACUAAAGUACACAAUGCAUUGUGACACUGGAAAAGGUUGACAUUUAAUUAAACCCUUAAUUUAGGGCAAACGUAUUUAAUUAUAGGCAUAAAUGACUAACGAACUUUACGCCAAGAUAGUUACAAGUGUUAAAAUGUGCAGUGUUGAAGGCAAAGGGUAAGAACCAAACUGUGAAAAUCCCGAUUCUCAUUUCAUCACGCGAAACUCCCGCCAAACACAGAUUUGAAUUGGUGAAAAAAAAACUUUUGAGACUACGCCGACGCUAUAAGGCCGCUAAGAUGUACCCGUGGUACCGCGACUCUGUGAGUCAGCUGGGACAAUUCUGCGCCCCGGGGAACCCAAUGUCCACAACCAUCAAGACGGAGAACGGCUACAAUGACUGUAUGCUGGCACUCGACUACGCUACCCAGAGUAAGUUACAGGAAUUUGCGGGGUCUUCUGGAAACAGGCACAGUGAUUUAAUCCGGAAUGAAGAAAGUUACAGCGACAGAAUCCCGCAGCCAGGAACUAGUAAUUCGUUCCUCAACCCACUGGCUUAAGUUGACGGCCGUGCGUCGUCCACCAG